rnacentral:rRNA from 1 species
UACGGAGGAUCCAAGCGUUAUCCGGAUUCAUUGGGUUUAAAGGGUGCGUAGGCGGCCUGAUAAGUCAGCGGUGAAAUCUCUCGGCUUAACCGAGAAACUGCCGUUGAUACUGUCAGUCUUGAGUACAGAUGAUGUGGGCGGAAUAUGACAUGUAGUGGUGAAAUACUUAGAUAUGUCAUAGAACACCGAUUGCGAAGGCAGCUCACAAAACUGUCACUGACGCUGAGGCACGAAAGCGUGGGGAUCAAACAGG